rnacentral:tRNA from 1 species
GCGGAUGUGGUGAAAUGGCAGACACGUAAGUUUCAGACGCUUAUACUGUAAAAGGUGUGCAGGUUCAAGUCCUGUCGUCCGCACCA